UACGUAGGGGGCAAGCGUUGUCCGGAUUUAUUGGGCGUAAAGAGCGUGUAGGCGGCCAGACAGGUCCGUUGUGAAAACUCGAGGCUCAACCUCGAGAUGUCGAUGGAAACCGUCUGGCUAGAGUCCGGAAGAGGAGUGUGGAAUUCCUGGUGUAGCGGUGAAAUGCGCAGAUAUCAGGAGGAACACCUAUGGCGAAGGCAGCUCGCUGGGACGUGACUGACGCUGAGACGCGAAAGCGUGGGGAGCAAAUAGG
rnacentral:rRNA from 1 species